rnacentral:rRNA from 1 species
UACAGAGGGUGCGAGCGUUAAUCGGAAUUACUGGGUGUAAAGCGCGCGUAGGCGGCUUUGCAAGUCGGGUGUGAAAUCCCCAGGCUUAACCUGGGAACGGCAUUCGAGACUGCAUUGCUAGAGUAUGGGAGAGGGAAGUGGAAUUUCAGGUGUAGCGGUGAAAUGCGUAGAUAUCUGAAGGAACAUCAGUGGCGAAAGCGACUUCCUGGACCAAUACUGACGCUCAUGUGCGAAAGCGUGGGGAGCAAACAGG